AUACCUUUCUCGGCCUUAUGGCUAAGAUCAAGUGUAGUAUCUGUUCUCCUCAGCUUAAUGUCUGAUACGUGGGUCAACGACCCACAUGAUAUUAAAUUAAUUUUUUUUCAGUGGGAUGGUCCACCGCAGUACCUUGCUACAGGGAUCCUCAGGCGUUGCACUAUAGCAAGGGCCAGGCGCUCCCCUC